CUACGGAGGCAGCAGUGGGGAAUAUUGCACAAUGGGCGCAAGCCUGAUGCAGCCAUGCCGCGUGUGUGAAGAAGGCCUUCGGGUUGUAAAGCACUUUCAGCGGGGAGGAAGGCGGUGAGGUUAAUAACCUCAUCGAUUGACGUUACCCGCAGAAGAAGCACCGGCUAACUCCGUGCCAGCAGCCGCGGUAAUACGGAGGGUGCAAGCGUUAAUCGGAAUUACUGGGCGUAAAGCGCACGCAGGCGGUCGGGCAAGUCGGAUGUGAAAUCCCCGGGCUCAACCUGGGAACUGCAUUCGAAACUGGCAGGCUAGAGUCUUGUAGAGGGGGGUAGAAUUCCAGGUGUAGCGGUGAAAUGCGUAGAGAUCUGGAGGAAUACCGGUGGCGAAGGUGGCCCCCUGGACAAAGACUGACGCUCAGGUGCGAAAGCGUGGGGAGCAAACAGGAUUAGAUACCCGAGUAGUC
rnacentral:rRNA from 1 species